CAUGAUACUCUGGUUUCUCUUGGAACCAUUCUGGCUCCUCCUGGAUCCUGACUCAGUUGUUUUAAAGCAGGUAUAUUUUGCAACAGGCUGUGACAACCUACCACUUUAAGGUUAUCACAGCAGCUGCUCCUUCCUUCACUGUGAUGGCAAGCAGAGAAUUCAGACCUUCUGCUCCAAAACCACAAGCCCUCUACCACUUGUGCUGAAGCUUUCCUCAGAAAGACCAGGUAUUGGCCACUGUCAGAGGCAUGAAACCAGACUAGAUGGACCAGAGAUACACCUGCCAACAUCAGAAAGCUACAAAUGGGAACAUCUGGGGAGAAAAAAACAGGGACAAGACCUUUCUUUUCCUUGAAAUGCAUUGGACCGGGAAAGCUUUUAGAGGGACUAAGUAGAACAAUGAUGUAUAUAUCUAACUAAAAAUACCCUCCCUCCUAUAUAUAGUGGUUGGCAUGACUGAGCAUUUUGUAAAUGGAUCAGUAGAGGCACCGCUCUGAUCGGGAGCAGCAAAUCCUAUGUGAUGAUGUGGGGAUCUAUCGACGUACAAGUGAGAUUAUGAACACUCUGUAUGGCUCUGUGCCAGGUUGCAAACUCCAUUUUGAAUGGUUUGCUGCCUAUGCUGUUGUCCUUUCCUCUCCAUAUUGGACUGAAAUUCCAAAGUAUGGGAUCCUGGGUCUAAUAUUGGAGGGUUGUUAAAUCUUGAUCAUCUUCUAUUCAAACAGAAGCACCCUUGGACAUAGAGCUGCUGCUGCCCAGAAGAACCAGUCUGGGCUGGUAACUAAGUAAUGGAUCACCUGGUGAGGGAUUUUGAUCACCUGCUGAGACUGAAUGGAGCACUACUUGACAAAGGGGGUGGAUGGUUAUAGACUAGAGGGUCUCUCAGCAGCCAUUUUAAGAAGCACAAGUGACCACAAGCAGAAGCAGUGAAAGCCUGGGCAGGAGAGUGGAAGGGCACUGACGAUAGAGGUCAGAGCAAGAGAGAAAGGGCAUGAUUCAGAAAAGAAGCCGUGUACUGCAGGGGGGUCCAGGACUGCUCGGAAGGGCCUGCCACAGCCCAGAGCACUCUCCUGGGUGGUGAGGAAACGGAGGCAGGGAAAGAUAUAUAGAUUUUUUUUAUUAUUUUGUGUAGAUCUAUGUAUUU